GUCUGGUUUCAGGACCCACUAUCGCCCCUCAAUGACCACUUGAUAAAAGUUAAACAUCUCAAAUUUAUUUGACGAAAAGGCGUGUGUUUUGAACCUGAGAUAAUCCAGAAUAUCACAGCAUGAAAACACAGAAGACAAGUUUAAUGAUAAA